GGUCCAUUAGCUCAGCUGGGAGAGCGUCUGGGUGACAACCAGAAGGUCACAAGUUCAAGUCUUGUAUGGGCCA
rnacentral:tRNA from 2 species